GGAAUGGAGCCUGCCUUCUGUGGACUAAGACCUCUGAAACUGUGAGCCUGCAGGGCCCAAACUCCAUCGAUGACAUCUGCUGCAUCCCCGUGGCAGACGACGUGGUGGACCUCCAGUGAACAGCAGCCUGUGUGUACCAGGGGAUAGGGAGCCACCAGCCGCGAGCGGUGAGUGGAGAAGAGAUGGGAGUGUGAGUGUUUCCUGUGAUGCUCCCAGCCUUCUUUCCACCCACGGAGAGAGUGUGCUUCCUCUCUCUUCCUCAGAAGAGCAAGUGGUGUCAUUGCUUAUUGAGAAUCGUGUCAUCAUCAUCCAGGAACCUGAGAUUUAUCCUCGACCCCUCUUUUUCUUUCAUUAAUCAACAAGUUCAAUUGAUUUUACGUCCUGAAGCUAUCCUUUAUGUUUGUUCUUGAUUCUCCAUCCCUUCUAACCUUGAUCAUCUGUCACCUGGACUAUGGCAACACUUGUAACUGGUCCUUCCCUGUCCCAUAUGUCUCAAAGACAUUCUCAGAAGCACUGUCAUGGUAACCCCAACAAGAGUGCAAAUUUCACCCCCUUCUCAAAAUGAAAGCCUUUGAUUCUUUGCCUUUGACAUAUACAAUGGUCCUCCAUGAUCUGGCUACUCAUUUCCUUUCCUUCUUUCCCGAAAGCUCUACAAUCAUCUUCAUUUUUUUUUCAACCUUCUGUCUUUGCUUAGAAUGCUUCUAUUCAUUGUUCCAAAAUAAUGCUCUAAAUCCCUUGGCAAAUGUCACCUCCCCCAUGAAGUCUUCCCACAUCCUUUCUCUAAACAUAUAAAAUAAAUCUCAAGUUGCCACCA